CGCUAUCACUCCUACGGGAGCAGCAGUAGGGAAUAUUGGUCAAUGGGCGAAAGCCUGAACCAGCCAUGCCGCGUGUCAGAUGAAAGGUCCUCUGGAUUGUAAAUGACUUUUCUACGGGAAGAAUGAGCCGUCUGCGGACGGAAGUUGACGGUACCGUAGGAAUAAGCACCGGCUAACUACGUGCCAGCAGCCGCGGUAAUACGUAGGGUGCAAGCGUUGUCCGGAUUUACUGGGUUUAAAGGGUACGUAGGCGGUUGUGCCAAGUCUGGGGUGAAAGUUUGCAGCUCAACUGUAAAAAUUGCCUUGGAUACUGGUCGGCUAGAGUAGUGGAGCGGUGGCUGGAAUUUAUAGUGUAGCGGUGAAAUGCUUAGAUACUAUGAGGAACACCAAUUGCGAAGGCAGGUCACUGGUCACUAACUGACGCUGAGGUACGAAAGUGUGGGGAUCAAACAGGAUUAGAUACCCUGGUAG
rnacentral:rRNA from 1 species